UACGGAGGGUGCAAGCGUUAUCCGGAUUCACUGGGUUUAAAGGGUGCGUAGGAGGACAGGUAAGUCAGUGGUGAAAUCUCCGAGCUUAACUUGGAAACUGCCGUUGAUACUAUCUGCCUUGAAUAUUGUGGAGGUGAGCGGAAUAUGUCAUGUAGCGGUGAAAUGCUUAGAUAUGACAUAGAACACCAAUUGCGAAGGCAGCUCGCUACACAUAUAUUGACUCUGAGGCACGAAAGCGUGGGGAGCAAACAGG
rnacentral:rRNA from 1 species